AUUGAACGCUGGCGGCAUGCCUUACACAUGCAAGUCGAACGGCAGCACGGGGGCAACCCUGGUGGCGAGUGGCGAACGGGUGAGUAAUGCAUCGGAACGUGCCCAGUAGUGGGGGAUAACCAGUCGAAAGACUGGCUAAUACCGCAUACGACCCAAGGGUGAAAGCGGGGGACCGUAAGGCCUCGCGCCAUGGGAGCGGCCGAGGCCUGAUUAGCUAGUUGGCGGGGUAAGAGCCCACCAAGGCGACGAUCAGUAGCUGGUCUGAGAGGACGACCAGCCACACUGGGACUGAGACACGGCCCAGACUCCUACGGGAGGCAGCAGUGGGGAAUUUUGGACAAUGGGCGCAAGCCUGAUCCAGCCAUGCCGCGUGCGGGGAGAAGGCCUUCGGGUUGUAAACCGCUUUUGGCAGGAACGAAACGGCGCAGGCCAAUACCUUGCGCUAAUGACGGUACCUGCAGAAUAAGCACCGGCUAACUACGUGCCAGCAGCCGCAGUAACAC
rnacentral:rRNA from 1 species